rnacentral:lncRNA from 1 species
AUUGCAUAAUGCAGUAGCCACUGGAUUUGCAGCAGAAACACUCUGCUACAGAACAAGUGUCUUGGUUCACAGCAAAGAGGACAAAGAAAACAGCAAGUUUUAGGGGGUUGAAUCCUGGAUUCCCCUGGCAAACACCAUUCUACUUUCCGUCUCUAUGAAUUUGACUACUCGAAGUACCUCAUUAAAAGAAGAGAAAAAACAUCAAUUAGAAAAUAGAAAAGAGCCCUCCCUGGUGAAUUCCUGCUUCUCCUCCAUGUCAUCAUAGGUGUUGAUGGUGCUUGCCUCUGGAUAAUGCUGACUUCCUCUAGAGUGGUCACCAAGGUGAAAUGUUGGUGCCAAAUGAACUUUUCUGGUUCUUCUGAAUAUGCCACUGUUGCUGGAGAAAUGUCACUGCUAGAGAACAGAAGACUAUUAUUCCAAAGGGUAUUUGAGACUGACUGAAUCAGGUCUGGAACAUUAUUGAAAUGAGGAUGAAGAGAUCCUCCUAGCUUGGCGGAAUACUCUGCUCUGAUGGAAGUACCAUCCUGGUCCAAACAUGAAAGAAUUCCCAACAUCAAGAUUGAUUGAAACAUAUUCAAUGGGUGGUGACCAGAUGGAUAUAAACGGGCUGUGGAAAAAGAGAAUGCAUGGCCAAAAAUGGUGGUGCUCUCUGUCCAAAAACUGAGGCCCUAUGACCAUGAAUGAAGCCAGAGGGCAGGUAGGAAUAGAUCAUUUGCUCCAGAAGAAGCUGGUUGCCAUGUCUUGAGGACAGUAAACCCUCUGGGGAGGUUCCUGUGGUAAGGAACAAGGGCUCCUGGCAAUAGCCUCUGAGUGAGCCACCUUGAAAAUGGAUUGUCCAGCCCCAGUCAAGCUUUCAGAUGACUGUAGCUCCUGCCAAUGUCUUCACCACAACCUCAUGAGAUCCCAAGCUACAACCACUCAGUUAAGUUAUGCCAAAAUUCCUGAUUCACAGAAAUUGACAUACAGGAGAGGUCACAGUUAAGAUCUUGAUGUUCUAUCUUGACCCAUAAUAUAGGAACUUCAUCUUUUGGGAAGCACCAGGGAGAGCUGCCUGUGCCUGGCAGAAGCUGCCCAUGCCCCACUGAUACCCCACAGUACUUCCUGUUCUGCUUAGUACUCCUGCUUCUUUCUACAAACAACUGUGAUUCUCUACCUGGGAGCUUCCUCUGGCCACAGGAGCCUGCUCACCUGAUUGGGACACCCUAGCAGUACUGGCUCAUAGAUGGAAGGGACUUGCCUUGUCGCUGAUGAGACUUUCGACUUGGACUUUUGAGUCAAUGCUGGAAUGAGUUAAGACUUUGGGGAACUGUUGGAAGGGUGUGAUUGUGUUUUGAAUUGUGAGGACAUGAGAUUUUGAAGAGGCUAAUGGCAGCGUCCCCACCUAAAUCUCUUCUUGAAUUGUAGUUCCCAUAAUCCCCACGUGUCGUGGGGUGGAGCCGGUGGAGAUAAUUGAAUCAUGGGAACACUUUCCCCCAUGCUGUUAUUGUGAUUGUGAAUUCUCACGAGAUCUGAUGGUUGUAUAAACGCCUUCCCUCUUCGCUGGGCACUCAUUUUUCUCCUUCCUGCCACCAUGUGAAGAAGGAUAUGCUUGCUUCUUGUGCCAUGAUUGUAAGUUUCCUGAGGCCUCCCCAGCCAUGCUGAACUACAAGAACACACUCAGAAAUUUUCUCAACACAGUUUCUAUGCAGAGAAGAGAUGUGGGACAGAUUUGAACUGCUGUCAUAUUUGUAUGAACCCAAGACAUUUUCCAAGACCAAGAGGGAUAAAGACAGCAAUUUCUAUGACUGGCAUUUUACGUGCAUGCACUGUUUCCAAGUGUUCUUGUGUUCUGUGCCUUAAACAUUCUGUGUUGCAACUUUAUGAAUUGAAUUAAAGAUAAUCCCAAGCCCCCAAUUGUCUCAAAAAGUGAAAAAGUAAAUGUUAUAGAAAGAAAAGCGGGAAAAACUUUAAGCAUGAAAUAAAAGAUGGGUUGUGAUAAAAGAGGACUGAAGAAGGAAAAGGAAUGAAAGGUUCUGCCAUCCUUCAUGGCAGCCCACUCCACUUGGUAUGAGAUACUGCUCCCUUGGCUGAAAGUUAACUGCUGUACUCCCUCCACUUUCUAUAAAUGACUCCCUGUGCCUUUCCUUCACCACACAACUCACACUCUCUUCCUUCCUAGUGAGUCCACUAAGGCUUCACUGCAUUAUUACAUUUAUUUCAUUUAGGAAAAACUGACUUUAUUUUCCUUCAAAUUGUUUUUUAUUGUUUAUAUGAGCUUGGUUUUAUUGUCAUUCUAUUUUUCUCCAUGAAAAUAGAGAAAAAUAGGGUCGAAAGGUUAGGUUGGGUGGAAAGGAAUUAUAUUUUUUCUCACUAAAAUUGAUGUAAAUAUCGUUUUCAAUUGAAUGAUUUUACACAGUGGCACAGUUUCAGGUAUGUUGCUAAGCAGGAAAGUUGUUAACCAAAGCAUGAAUGUAUUAAGGAGAUGUAUGCAGAAUGACAUGCAAGGUUAUCUAUGAUUGCUGAGUGAGAAAGAGCAAGUUGCUGAGUAUUAUAUA